UAGACUUGAUGGUUUGGAGGGCGUGGUCGAUCUUGUCGACAGGCAUGUUGGUGCAGGUGAGGUGCAUCAUGCUCUCCACGCAGAUGAUGUUCUGCAUCUUGUUCGCAAUGUCCAGCGUCAGAUCCGCCGUCGACCCACCCGCACCCCACGUUAUGUCGCAGAACGCCGGGUUGUGGGCCACCAUCCUCUCCAUCCUCUCCAACAGGUUCUCCACCCCAUCCUCCGUCUUUGGCGGGAAGAACUCGAACGAGAACAAAACCUUCUUCUCCUCCAACAACGCCUCCUGGAUCUUCUCUAUCACCUUCAUUCU
rnacentral:lncRNA from 1 species